rnacentral:piRNA from 1 species
UCUCGAUCCAAUUCCAAUUUU